rnacentral:rRNA from 1 species
ACGAUUGCGGCUGCUGGCACGGAGUUAGCCGGAGCUUAUUCUCCCGGUACUGUCAUUAUCAUCCCGGGUAAAAGAGCUUUACAACCCUAAGGCCUUCAUCACUCACGCGGCAUUGCUGGAUCAGGCUUUCGCCCAUUGUCCAAUAUUCCCUACUGCUGCCUCCCGUAGG